AGUGAAUCCCAGACAACCUAAGUGUCCAUAAGUAGAUUAGUUUAAAAAUUAUAUUAUUCUUAUGCCAAAAAAUGUAACUGGUAAGAAUAAGGUAGACUUUAACUACGGACAUGGGGGAAAAAAAAGUCCAUGAUACAUAGUUAAGCGAAUAUAGCAAGUUGCAAAACAAUAUGUGUAGAAUUAUUUUGAGUUUUUGAAAACUAUUUUUAAAAACCCUCUGUGUAUGGGGAAAAAAAAAACCCUUCUGUAUAUGUAUGCUCCAAAAUGCCCAGAAAAAUGUCUGAAAAGAGAUCAAACUGUUAACAGUAGUAACCUCUAGGGACUGACUGGAACUAGGAAGCAGUAAAGGAGUGACUGUCACUUUUUUCCUUUGUAGACCUCUGGUGAUUUGGAUUUUUUGGAACUAAAGGUUAACUUUGUGAUUUAAAAAUACGAAAAUA